AUGAAGAGAAAGGCUACGAGUAUGCAUGAUUUUUAUGCAAGCAGUUCAGUUACUCCUUCCCCUGCCGAUGUCGAGCCUGAACUUGCCCCAGCUAAUGUGACUGCAAAUCCCUUUCCCUUAAUUGUUGUGAGCACAGUGCCUCCUCCUGAAGCUGAACCCCCAAAUGAGGAGAGCAAUGGUACCACAUGUGAUGAGAGUACAAACCGACCAAGGCAGCGCAUACUAGGAUCUCAUCCAAAUAAAAUUAUCAAGGAUGACAUUGGAGACAAGAACUUCUCAAUCCUUAUUGAUGAGGCUAGAUAUUGCUCAGUAGAAGAGCAAAUGGCAGUGACUGUGAGAUUUCUUGAUGAUCACGGGGUGCUCCAGGAAAGAUUCCUUGCAAUUAAGCACAUCACAGAUUGUACAUCUGCUGGAAUUAAAGAAGCUUUGGUUGAUGUAUUGGAUUAUCAUGGUUUGCAGAUUUCUAGGCUACGUGGACAGAGUUAUGAUGGGGCUUCAAAUAUGAGAGGGGAAUUCAAUGGUUUGCAAAAAUUGGUUAGAGAUGAAGCUCCAUAUGCAUUUUAUGUUCACUGCUUUGCUCACCAGUUGCAGGUGGUGGUUGCCACUGUUGCUCAAUGUAGUCCUACUAUUGCUGAUUUCUUCAACUGUAUUCCCUUGAUAGUGACUCAAGUGUGUUCAUCUUGCAAGCGGAAAGAUGCAUUACUGGCCAAACAUCAAGACGAAUUGUUACAUUUGAUGGAGAAUGGAAGGAUUUCAUCCGGAACCUGGUUGGAUCAAGAAUCUAGCAUAACAAGACAAGGAGAUACUCGUUGGGGCUCACAUCUCAGAACCUUGCUUCGCAUAUUCACAAUGUGGAAUGCUGUGGUGGAUGUGCUAGGAAUUGUAGUGGUUGAUGCUCGGGAACACACUUGUCAAGGUGGAGCUUCAGGUUUGCUUAUUAAGAUGGAAUGCUUUGAAUUUCUCUUCAUCAUGUUGUUCUCAAUAAACUUGUUGGGCACCACAAAUUAUCUAUCACAAGCUUUGCAAAGAAAGAAUCAAAAUACUGUCGAAGCCAUGCAUUUGAUCUUAGAUGUGAAAGAAAGCUUGCAAGAUAUGAGGGACAAUGGGUGGGAGUCUUUAUUCAGUCAAGCCAAGAACUUUUGUGAGGCACAUGACAUUGAUGUGCCAAAUAUGGAUGAUCUUGUUGGAGCUAUGGGUCAAUCUGUUCGCGCUAAGAAUAAGGUGACCCGACUUCACUAUUACAAGGUUAGCAUAUUCAAUGUUGCCAUUGAUGCAACUAUUACUGAGAUGAAUCAUCGAUUCAAUGAAGUUUCCACUGAGUUAUUGGAUUGUAUUUCUUGUCUUAAUCCAGCAAACAACUUCUCAAAGUUUAAUGCUGACAAACUUAUUCGGCUUGCUGAAAUUUAUGCUGAGGACUUUACGAAAGCUGACCGGUUGUUGCUAACAUUUGACCUUCCGAGAUUCCUUAUGAACAUUAGGAGAAGUGAGGAAUUUAAUGGAUGCCAAGAUGUGUCCACACUUGCUCGAUUGAUGGUUCAAACAAAUAAACACACAUCUUUCCAGUUGGUAUAUCGCCUCAUUGAGUUGGCGUUGAUUCUUCCUAUGGCAACUGCACCAGUUGAGUGA
rnacentral:rRNA from 1 species